rnacentral:lncRNA from 1 species
AUGGCCUAACAAAUCCCCUAGCUCGAGUCAGCCUUCAGAGCACUGCCGGGUUGUUCCUGAGUCAGCUGCUAGCCCACACUUGAAUCACCCUUUGACAAGACUUCCCAGGCUGUGGCCUCACCCACCUCACACAGUCCUUGGUGUCCUCCUGCGUCAGGAGUGGGGAGCCUGAAGGUGACAUCUUGUUGGUUUGGAGAUGAUUUAUUCGCUCGUGUUGUAAAAUCUAAAAUGACACUCCUGGGAAGAGGAAGGAACUAUAAGGACCCGUGUGACCCAUUGCUGUCUGCCUGAAGCCCUGGCGCUCUGACCUGAGUGCACCGGGGUUAGGUGUCUCAGCCAAAAUGCAGGACUGCACGACGUCUAACACAUGGGAGAGAUGCUCUGAAACAUGGGGGUGGGUAUUCACUGCAUUCCAGAGUUGGGGGAUCUGGAGACCCAGUGAGUCCUUCGGACUUCACAGGCCUGUCUCCCCACACUUCAAAUUCCAAAUCGUCCUUCACCCAAAAGUGGGUAGGAGUCACUGGACUAUCAAUUUCCCCAAAAUUCUAAGAGAAGGAGGUAACCCGGGCCCCUACUUCUGCAUGUAAAAUAAACCGAAAUCACCACCUCUUGGCUGGCCUUGACAUUCAGCUCUGGGGACUCAGUGAGGCACUUAAUCCUGUAUUUCACCUCCUCUAAAGAGAAAAGUUUCCAAGCUACCCUUAAAGCUUUAUAUUUCAUUGGCUCCCCUCUUCAACGAGAUAAUUGAAGCUCAAAUUUAGACUGCCAGUGGGCCCCAGAGUCCCAGGAUGGUGCUGCAUAAGAAAAUUUCUGGCGCCAGGGUUGUUGCA